rnacentral:rRNA from 1 species
AGAGUUCGAUUAUGGCUCAGGACGAACGCUGGCGGCGCGCCUAACACAUGCAAGUCGAACGGAGCUGAGAGGAGCUUGCUUUUCUUAGCUUAGUGGCGAACGGGUGAGUAACGCGUGAGUAACCUGCCCUGGAGUGGGGGACAACAGUUGGAAACGACUGCUAAUACCGCAUAAGCCCACGAUCCGGCAUCGGAUUGAGGGAAAAGGAUUUAUUCGCUUCAGGAUGGACUCGCGUCCAAUUAGCUAGUUGGUGAGGUAACGGCCCACCAAGGCGACGAUUGGUAGCCGGACUGAGAGGUUGAACGGCCACAUUGGGACUGAGACACGGCCCAG